rnacentral:rRNA from 1 species
UUCUGUAGCAAUUGCUAUAACCCUGCAGCCCAAUACUGUUUGCCCACUGAAGCUAAGCUAGGGUGAGUCAGGUUAGAACCUGGGUAGGGGACAUCCUGGGAAGCUAGGUUACUGCUGGAA